GGGUUUUUUCAGAGGCCUAUUACACUUAUUUUUACAUCUCUUUCAGCUUCCAAUGAUCUUACUUCAACUUCAUCUUGAAGCCCUAUCAAGCAGAAUGAAGAGUCCUCUGUCAAAUUUCUGUCCUUAUGAGAGCCUGGGAUGGAAGCAUGUCCCUCUACGUAUCAGUAACAUGAGAUCCCUGGCAUCUCUUCAGUGUAAGCCGUUAGUGUCUCUUUCCCUUGAAGACUUUUAUCUCUGUAAGUUGAAGAUAUCCAACUUCUGUGAUUGCAUUCCCAAUAAAUUCAACUGUUUUGCACCCCAGAGGAUACUACAAUUUGCUCUCCAGGAUGUUUUUCAUUCUCCCUGUUAAAACAAACAUUUUUUCCAGUCUCCAAUUUAAAAAAAAAUUUCUUGUUACUGUUUUUAUUGUUUAGAGAUCUAUAUAUUAUGUAUGGUCAGCAAACUAUUUGACCUCAGGGCUGUAUCAGCAGUUUUGGGUUUCAUAUUAACAGAUAAUGUUUUGCCUAGCUCUUUCUGGAUAAAACUGUAGAGGGAAAAUCUAACAACUAAACCUAAAUCUAAAGUCGUUCUAAAUCUAACAACUGUCUCUUGUUCAGGCAUGGAUUUAUGAUGAAAGAUAGGAAUGAUAGACUUGUUCCUUAAGAACAAGAACCCGA
rnacentral:lncRNA from 13 species